UCUAACACAAACAAGGGCUCGCCAACCAGG
rnacentral:piRNA from 1 species